GCCUGCAUAGUUCAGUUGGUUGCAGCAUGGUGCUGAUAACGUCAAGGUUUCAGGUUCGAUCCCCGUACGAGACA